rnacentral:tRNA from 1 species
GGGAAGGUGGCGGAAUUGGUAGACGCGCUAGCUUCAGGUGUUAGUGUUCUUACGGACGUGGGGGUUCAAGUCCCCCCCCUCGCACCA